AACGAACGCUGGCGGCAGGCUUAACACAUGCAAGUCGAACGCCCCGCAAGGGGAGUGGCAGACGGGUGAGUAACGCGUGGGAACAUACCCUUUCCUGCGGAAUAGCUCUGGGAAACUGGAAUUAAUACCGCAUACGCCCUACGGGGGAAAGAUUUAUCGGGGAAGGAUUGGCCCGCGUUGGAUUAGCUAGUUGGUGGGGUAAAGGCCUACCAAGGCGACGAUCCAUAGCUGGUCUGAGAGGAUGAUCAGCCACAUUGGGACUGAGACACGGCCCAAACUCCUACGGGAGGCAGCAGUGGGGAAUAUUGGGCAAUGAGCGCAAGCCUGAUCCAGCCAUGCCGCGUGAGUGAUGAAGGCCUUAGGGUUGUAAAGCUCUUUCACCGAUGAAGAUAAUGACGGUAGUCGGAGAAGAAGCCCCGGCUAACUUCGUGCCAGCAGCCGCCGUAAAAC
rnacentral:rRNA from 1 species